rnacentral:rRNA from 1 species
CCCUUAGAUGUUCUGGGCUGCACGCGCGCUACACUGAUGCGCUCAACGAGUUUACGACCUUGCCCGGAAGGGUUGGGUAAUCUUUUUAAAACGCAUCGUGAUGGGGAUAGAUUAUUGCAAUUAUUAAUCUUUAACGAGGAAUUCCUAGUAAGCGCGAGUCAUCAGCUCGUGCUGAUUACGUCCCUGCCCUUUGUACACACCGCCCGUCGCUCCUACCGAUUGAAUGAUUUAGUGAGUACCAGGGACCGAGCGCUUUGGUUGGGUUUCCUUCCCUAGCGCUUGGGAACUGUCGCAAACUUGACCAUUUAGAGGAAGUAAAAGUCGUAACA